GCCCAACGCGGGGCUCAAACUCACAAACCAUGAGAUCAUGACCGGAGCCCAAGUGAGAUCAUGAUCUGAGCCAAAGCCAGAUACUUGGCCGACUGAACCACCCAAGCACCCCAUCAGAUGAAGAUCUCAAUAUCCUCAUAGAAAUAGUCACAGGGCAGGUAAGCCAAGAAGCUCUACGGAAGGUUUUGCUGUGGAGGAGUUACAGAUCCAGAUGUGACUGUGACUGUUCGGCUAAAGUGGUGAAGUGAAGGGGACAAAGAUCUAGGGUCCUGCAUGAGUCAUCCAUGUGGAGAAUGAGUCACACAAGGUGACCAAAGUGUUGGAGUGGAGGAAACAUUCUGAUAUGAAAAUUCACUGCACAUCGGGAAGGAUCAAAGAGGCAUGGAGAAGCAUAGUGGGUGGUUUUUAAAGGCCCUGGAAAGGUCAGCUAAGGGGAUCCUUUCUUUUAAGUAUGGCUACCUGGGCUCAGAAAGGGAGGAAAAGAGAGAAAACAGUGUGAGCUCCACCUUCCAGAGAAUCCUUACAUAAAAGGCCACGAGUGAUCCUGUGGUUUCUGAAGAAAAAAAUACGUCUCACAUUUUCAAAAUCUAGAUUUUCUGAGAUACAACAGGGGUAACAGAAUGGCAAGAAUAUUGAAGAGAAUAUUAUCAUAAAUGUCCUGAAA